rnacentral:lncRNA from 1 species
GCACAGAGAUCAGAGGGAGAAGGACAAAGAGAUACAAGGAGAGUGACAGGAAAGAAGAAAAAAUGACUGAGAAACUCCUAAUGCAAAGUGGGUAAUGGGUUUUGAAAAUAACAGGGUGAGCCAAAGAGAAAGGGACAAAUGAUUUAGCAGAGAGACUGGAACAUAUACUGGUACCUCCACCUACUGUACCCCAAGCCUUGUGUUGAACCUGGACAAACAGUCUGGCCCUUCCAGGGACUCCCAAGCACAACGAAACACAGAGCUUCAAAGGAAAGAAGAGCAGGAAGUUGGUGGGUUUCAGGUGCUUGGAAAAGAAGUAGGCUGACAUCUGACUCAUCCUAUUCAACUGCAAGCACCCAACACACACAGAAGCUUUCAGAUGAGAUCAUCUGGUCGUGACUUGCAAAAGACUCUGAUUUGGUGGCAUAUGGGGCUAGGCACUUUAUCAACAUUUUUCAGGUGACAAGCAGGCAGCCAUGGGGAAAAGGCACUCAUAGAACAGUGACUUGUACCAUGCUGUUCUUCAGCAUCUUCUGCUGGCUGUGCGUGCAGGGUGAUGAU